GGACUCAUGGACGGCAAGUACGACGAGCUUGGCGAGCGGGAAGAAGGAGGUGGCGGAGGGGAGGAGCAUGGCUGGACGUCAGUUGCCCCCGCUGCCACCACAGGCCUGCUCUGCUAGAUUUCAAUCGUGGCCCUCUUCCCCUGUGAUUUACUCUUUGAUGGGUAGGUGCAUCCCAGACUUUCCCUACAAAUAAGGUGGGACGAAAUCCAACCAUGAGGCCAAGAUUUUCUUUUUCGAGAAUGAUGAGGCCAAGAUUUAGAACAGAAAAAGAUAAACAUAAACAAUCAGGGGAAAGUAGGGCUUGCAGUUGGAAAUUGUGCCUGCGAGGGUGCUAGGAGGUCAUGGGAAGCACGCCAGCAAUGCUGUCAGUCGAAUGUCCAAGCAAGCAUUGAUGCCAUCUGUGUCUGCAUAUUGCGGGGGACAACUUGCACCUCAGGCCCUCAGCUGCGUCCCACAAGCCGUCUAACGUCCUAAUUUACGGUGAGAAGGAAAACCUAUAAAAGAUUGUUUGUUUGUCUAUAUAGAAGCUAACUGAAACUUAGAGAUUUUCUUGGUAUUUGUGUUGAGUUGGGUGUGGCAUUUUGGGUCCAUUCUGAUCAUGUACCCUCUUAAAAAAAUUAAUCAUUUCACUGUAGUUGUUGACUCUGCUGUCCUACCAAGCUUUCUACAAGUGAAAUUUUAUUCUAAUUAGUUAGUUGAUUACAAAUUAAUGGGCUGCAGUCGACCAUCCAAGUAUUUUUAGAGAUGCUUUGCUUUUUCCAAUUAUAUUUGAACAAUUUUCCACCGAAGAGGUAGGUUGUGAAAUGGCAACCCUCUUAGCUAUGGAGAUGUAACAUAACUUGUGAUAUUAGAUUAUAUUCUGCCAAACGUUGGUUGCACAGGUAUAACCAUUAAACAUGCAGCAAAUUAACUGUUUUUGAAAUGUACUUGAACAAAAGAGGAAGCAAGUUUUGGGUCAUGUCCACUGCAAAGUGUUCAGCACUUAAGUUCCAUUGCAUUUUGCUGUACCAAGCGGAGGCGAUUAGCACUUAGCACAUAGAACAGUUGGCAUCAUGAAUUGCUCACUCAGCCUAUCUGUUUGUGCUUUUUCUUCAGGU